CUGUCCGACAUCCCACCGCGAUCCCUGCACCUGCCUGGCACAUGUUUAGGAAGAGGUAGCCGGAUAAGGCAACCAAGCCUCCGGAACUUAAAGUCUGUCCGCUGUCCAGCUACUGCAAAAAUACAAGCAGCACACCCAGCUUUCAGGUCUCUGUAGCUCUAAACAUCGUUUCUCCAUAACUACCCAUCAGAAACAAAAGAAACAAAAAAAACAACGAUUGUGUUAACGAGAAUUGAACUGUCUACCAACUUCCAAGAUCACUUUUUAAUUCAAGAGCAUUUCAAGCACUUCUCAGAAAGUUACAGCGAUGAAUAAUCUGGAUCUCAGAAACAAUAUGAAGAUGAGAAAAACAGCAGGAGUCCAAGUGUAAGGUCUGGUCUGCAGAUAUCAAGGUCAGAAUCAAUGAUCAUUUAUUUGCCUAAUUAAUUCCGUGUUUUUGCCUGUUCCUAGCGAAAUCUAGUUACUUUGUACUAUUAAAAUAUGCCAAAUUUCCUGGCAGCAAAUUAAACAUAGAUGGCAUUGAAUGACAAGGUGCUUCAGUUCCUGAAAUGGACAGAUUUCACUAGUACAAAGCGAUGAACUCCAUACUACAUUGCCUUUGUUUUUUUUCUUGCUUCAAUGCACUUUUUUAAUGACUUGGACCCACAUCGCAAGUUUUUCUCUUUUCAAACACAGGUAUAUGUACUCCGGAAAGAGAUUUUUACAUUUUUUCCACAAAACAAGUGAGGUUUUAUUCUGUGUUCACAGUAACCCUUGAUAAUUAAUUAGACAAGUGUAAUCUCAUUUAUUCCUCCUUUAGAAUCAUUUCAAAGUAUCAAGAAUACUCUCCAGGGAUAUUUAAUCAAUAUUCAAAAGUCAUCUAGAUUUUAGAGAGAAACUGUCCCCUUUAUUACUUUUUUUGUUUUUUUACAAAAUCAGAAUUAACAAUGUUUAAGGUGUGGUUAGAAACAAUGCAAAAAGCCGAUCUUUGGACAAUGUACUAUUAAGAAUAACCUGGAUAUUCCCUGAAACCUUCAAGCAAGCCAAUGAUCUGUGCAAAGCUAUAUCUACAAACCUGUGGUCAGAUAGUGUUUUUUUUUCUUUUUUCAAUGUCCAUCCUGACCACCUUAACAUGAGGAGGCCAAUACAUAGUGGAGUUAACACAGAAACCAAACAUGGUAUUAUUUAUGGUUUAGUAGUAAACUAGAUUUAAAAUUGAUAUGUACACAUCUCCAAUAGAUACUCUUUUUACCCAGUUUAGUACAACGUAUUUAGUUAAGAAUUCUGGGAGAUUUUAAACAUUGAACUGAACAACGAAAAGUUCCUGCUUAACUGAUGUAUUAGCCAUGUAAGGGUUAUGAGUACAUUAUACUAAUUGUAUUUUGUGAAAUUCUUGAAAUUGGGAAGUGAUCAAUAAAGAAUGAACUUGAUUUGAUUUUAAAA